AUCCGGGGGACUCAGGCGUAAACAAUCGAUCCUGGCCAAAAUCGAACCAACGCCCAGCCAAUCACGUGGCGCUCCUCCGGUCAUGUGACGCAGACGGUUCACCUCACAAGACCGGGAUCAACCACGGCUACCAGCAUGAACGACGGCGCUUCAGACGGGAUCUGCAGAGACUUUGAUUCAUCUGCUGUCUGGACAUGGAGUGAUGUGGGUCUCCUUCCUCUAAUCAGACAGUGGGAUGCUGCAGGUCACUAGACUGACCCCCUGUGCUUUGGAAGGGGAGGAGCUCACAGCGCCACCUGCUGCUCGUUGAGGACAAUGCACAAUGAGGGACGUCUGCAGAGACUGAGAAAGAGUCUCACCACAUCCUGACAUGAGGAAAAAGACUUUAUUGAAGACUGCAAUGAGAAAAACUAUCAGACAUCAGACGGCUGCAUUCAAGGUGAGCUCUGAACAUUUGAUCUGGAACAGGAAUUCAAUAACGGCAGCAUGAGCUUCAUUUCAGUCUGUAGCUGCUGAAUUCAUGGAUGAAUCAUCUGGCACUAGAGAGGAAGACCAUCAAACAUCCACGUCAGCUGAUGGAGGUCCAAGAGUCUCACCCAACAAACAACCUACAGAGUGAAGACCUCGAAUCUGAUUGGACGGCCUCCUAUUCAGCCACUUUAGGCUGUUAGAUUGUUCCAGAUAAGACAAGUACAAGAUUCUUCAGAGCCGUUCUACCACGAGCCUGACAGGAAGAACUCCAACAGCUACUGAAUGUUCCUGUGGUUCCCUCAAGGCUACAGGAGGAGUCCUACGAGGACGAGCCGGUCCACCUGAUGGCGGCCAGUCGCUGUGAUUCAAAGCCAACACCGACUAUGUGGACUUCUACUGGACCACACGGAGGCCUUCAAACCGGACCAACAAGUUCAGCGACUCCCCGACUCGUGGGUCUGAGGACGCCGCCGAGCCUCGGUCCAGCCGGCCUCCUGUCUGUGGGUGUUUGAGUGCUGAGAGGUUUGUGGAUGCAUGUGAACGUUCUGUGUUGAAACUGCAGCUUUGGACUCAGUAACACUGGGAAAAACCAAGAGCUCCUUUAUUUGUGACUUCCACUAAAAAAACUGAUGAAAAUAAGUUUGCCAGGGUUCUGACUGAUAACAGAUUAUUAAAUAAUGAAAAUAAUCCUUUAAAUAUUCCUUUAAACAAUCCUUUUAGGUCUACAUUUCCUUUACACUGACUUCUUGGUAAAUGUACAAGUAUUUUGUGUGGAAUAUACCAUUAAGCCCAAUGUUCAAGGGUUCUUCUGGGAAUAUACCAUUAAACCAACCUUUCAGGUAAAUGUUCCAAGAUGUUGGGUAGAAUAUACCAUCAGAUCAACCUUUUAGGUCUACAUUGGAAGAUUUUAGAGUAGAAUAUUACUCCAAACCAUCCUUUAAGUCUACAUUUAAGGUGGAAUACUCCUAUACACCAAGAUUUUUUGGUCUACAUUGAAGGAUUUUGGUUGGAAUAUUCCUUUGAACGAACUUUUUAAGUUUAUGUUCAAGGAUGUUGGGUGGAAUAUACCACCUGUGUUUGUGUUGCUCCUCGGCGACCCUAGACAGCCGGGUCCUAAUGUUUUUUGAGCAACACACCAUACUAUGACGUUUUUACAAUGAUGGUUCUACUAUGGAACCAGUUUGACAUGUUCAGGCGUUCUUUGUGUGAAAACUCAGAGAUUUCAGGUAUCAGAAGGUGGUUUUCAACUUUCUUUGUUAACUUUCUGCCUCAACUUUAAACUAAAUUUCCUUCACUAACCCCGCCCUGUGGACUUCCAGUAAGCUGUGUUCCUAUUGGCUGUCCAGGUGGCUGCUUGGUGUUAUCAGGAACACCUGAGCAGCUCAGUGUCUUCCUGCUUUGUUUAGUUGCAGACAAACAUUUCCUCUGCUUCUCUCCACCACAGAACUGGGUUUGGCUCCAUUGUUUUAGUUUGUUCUUUAGGCGUUGGUUUGCAGCUUCCAGCAGUGAAAUCAUCUUUAAUGUGUUUCUUGGUGUGUUUUAGGGCUUUGUACUGGAUAGUUGUCUUGGUAAAUGUGGUUCUUUAGCCACAGUUAGCACAUGGUGCUAAUGUGUGCAGUGAUUAGUGGAUUUGGUGCAGCUGAGUUGUGUCUUUAUCUUGGCUGUAGUGAGUCUUCAGAGGUUUUUGGUCAGACACAUUCUGUGUUCUUGUUUGUGAACCAACGUUGGUUGUCCAGAAGGUAAGAGUUCCUGUCCUGAUUCUCUGUUCUCAGAGGUUCUCUGGUAGGCUGCAGGAGACUUUAGUGUUUGGAUUGUGUUAGUUUGGUUUUUGUAUGGUUUCAUUUGGACGACUAUCUUGAGGCUCCUCCAUGUGGUUUAGUGAGGUUUUCUGUAACAGUUCUACAAAGUAACCUGCAGCAGAAGAGACUUUGAGAGUUUUUAGGAAGUUCUGGAGACCAGACUUUAGAGCAGCAGAAACAUUUGUCAGCAGUUUGAGAAGGUGAGCUUCAGAGUAGAAAUGAGACAGAAACCUUCUUGACCCGUGUGGUGAGGUCCUGUACCAAGAGUUUGAGCAGGUUGUGAAGAGUCUGUAGUUCUUUGGUCUGAAAGCACAAGAAGAGUCGACUCAUUAAAGGAGAAAACAGGAGAUAUUGAUGGUUCUUCUGUUGCUCUGCAGUUUCUUUAGACUGAAUAUCAAGUUUAUAUUUUAAAUGAUUUGCCAUGUGAGCCCAAGAAGACUUCAAUAAACUCCCUCCAUCCCCUGAACACAACACAUUUUAUGACGAUGUUAAAUCUUUUUUUAAAAAUAUGUUUUUUGUUUUAAUCAUAGUUUUAGCAUAGUUUUUUCUCUUUGCUUGUUUUGUCGUCUGUGUGAAAGGUGCUAAACAAAUAAAGCUGAAUUGAUAAACUGAAUAAUUGACUAACUGAUGAUUGUGACAACAGAAGUAUUUUCAUUGUGAUUUAAGGGUUUGUUUCACUUCUAAGGUUGAGGUUAAAGUCUUGACAGAAAAAAAAAUUAAAGAAAUAAACUACAUUUUAAAAAAGCAAUUGAAUCAAAGGAAAAAAGCAUUUAAUACAA